rnacentral:rRNA from 1 species
UAGGGAAUAUUGGACAAUGGGUGCGAGCCUGAUCCAGCCAUGCCGCGUGCAGGAAGACGGCCUUCUGGGUUGUAAACUGCUUUUGCCAGGGGAUAAAAAGUCCCUGCGGGGAAAAUUGAAGGUACCUGGUGAAUAAGCCACGGCUAACUACGUGCCAGCAGCCGCGGUAAUACGUAGGUGGCAAGCGUUGUCCGGAUUUAUUGGGUUUAAAGGGUGCGUAGGUUGUUUUGUAAGUCAGUGGUGAAAUCCGGCAGCUCAACUGUCGAUGUGCCAUUGAUACUGCAGAACUUGAGUACAGACGAGGUAGGCGGAAUUGACGGUGUAGCGGUGAAAUGCUUAGAUAUCGUCAAGAACACCGAUAGCGAAGGCAGCUUACUAGACUGUAACUGACACUGAUGCA